UGACAUCAUGCAUGAUGUCAUAAACACUAAUAUAAUUAAAAAUUAAAUUUUGGAUAAUUGUGGUCUUCCAUAAGGGAUUAAUUUAUAAAAGAAAAAAAAAAAUUUGCAAAAGUCUUCAUCUCUUCCACUUUGCCGUCUCUCUCUCCCUCUCCCUCACCAAACUCCAUGGAAGCUCAUUUUGAGCUUGAUCAAACCCUAAAUCCCACCAUAGAAAUUCUACUUUCCAUCAUUAAAUCGUGUAUCUAGAACUUAAUAAGGAGCUUGACAACAAAAAGAAAAAGAAAG
rnacentral:misc_RNA from 1 species